GCCAGUGUGGUGUAGUGGUUUGCGCAUUGGACUACUACUUUGGAGGCCAGGGUUCAAUUCCCAGCUAAACCA